rnacentral:ncRNA from 23 species
GUUUCCGUAGGUGAACCUGCGGAAGGAUCAU